GACGAACGCUGGCGGCGUGCUUAACACAUGCCAGUCGAACGGAAAGGCCCUGCUUUUGCGGGGUGCUCGAGUGGCGAACGGGUGAGUAACACGUGAGUAACCUGCCCUUGACUUUGGGAUAACUUCAGGAAACUGGGGCUAAUACCGGAUAGGAGCUCCUGCUGCAUGGUGGGGGUUGGAAAGUUUCGGCGGUUGGGGAUGGACUCGCGGCUUAUCAGCUUGUUGGUGGGGUAGUGGCUUACCAAGGCUUUGACGGGUAGCCGGCCUGAGAGGGUGACCGGCCACAUUGGGACUGGGAUACGGCCCAGACUACAACGGGAGGCAGCGGUGGGGAAUAUUACACAAUGGGCGGAAGCCUGAUGCAGCAACGCCGCGUGCGGGAUAACGGCCUUCGGGUUGUAAACCGCUUUCGCCUGUGACGAAGCGUGAGUGACGGUAAUGGGUAAAGAAGCACCGGCUAACUACGUG
rnacentral:rRNA from 1 species